rnacentral:rRNA from 1 species
GGCCCUUCGGGGUACACGAGCGGCGAACGGGUGAGUAACACGUGGGUGAUCUGCCUCGCACUUCGGGAUAAGCCUGGGAAACUGGGUCUAAUACCGGAUAUGACCUGCUGUCGCAUGGCGGUGGGUGGAAAGAUUUAUCGGUGCGAGAUGGGCCCGCGGCCUAUCAGCUUGUUGGUGGGGUAAUGGCCUACCAAGGCGACGACGGGUAGCCGGCCUGAGAGGGCGACCGGCCACACUGGGACUGAGACACGGCCCAGACUCCUACGGGAGGCAGCAGUGGGGAAUAUUGCACAAUGGGCGAAAGCCUGAUGCAGCGACGCCGCGUGAGGGAUGACGGCCUUCGGGUUGUAAACCUCUUUCGACAGGGACGAAGCGUAAGUGACGGUACCUGUAGAAGAAGCACCGGCCAACUACGUGCCAGCAGCCGCGGUAAUACGUAGGGUGCGAGCGUUGUCCGGAAUUACUGGGCGUAAAGAGCUUGUAGGCGGUUUGUCGCGUCGUCCGUGAAAACUUGGGGCUCAACCCCAAGCUUGCGGGCGAUACGGGCAGACUUGAGUACUGCAGGGGAGACUGGAAUUCCUGGUGUAGCGGUGAAAUGCGCAGAUAUCAGGAGGAACACCGGUGGCGAAGGCGGGUCUCUGGGCAGUAACUGACGCUGAGAAGCGAAAGCGUGGGUAGCGAACAGGAUUAGAUACCCUGGUAGUCCACGCCGUAAACGGUGGGUACUAGGUGUGGGUUUCCUUCCACGGGAUCCGUGCCGUAGCUAACGCAUUAAGUACCCCGCCUGGGGAGUACGGCCG